CGAUAAUUGCAUGCAUAGAAAGGUGUUUGCGAAAAAAGUGCGUGUAAUUGUGAAAAAAGUUAGCAAAUCGCAUAAAAUGCGUGAUUUACGGCAUCUAAUUAAAGUGAAUUGUAUUACCUACGUUCGCGGCAUGCAGCAUAGAUCGUGGCAAGCGCGUCAAACUAGAAUUGAAAUAAAAACCAGACAAUUGUGCUUAAAUUCAAUGCAAGUACGCAUGCGUGUGUGUGUGUGUGAGUGAGUGAAGUGCAAGACCAGCUGUAUGUGUGGGUCAAAUGCACGCCAUUUUGGGUGAGCUCAGUUUUCUAAUUGGUCCAAGGCUAUCAUGACAUCAACAUCAUCAUCAUCAUCAUCAUCGAGGGCAAUCAUAAUGUGCCAAGAAAAACUGACAUUUUCUAACCCAAAAAAGCCAUAUUUAAUUGCCUUGAUUCGCAACCCUGCUUGACUAAGGUCAUCCACACUCAGGAUAGAGGGAUGCCACACCCCAGAAGAAGCGCAAAAGCUAAAAACUUUAUCAUUUGCGCACUGGACAUUGGUCAGCAGUGUCGUUGGGAUCAUUCUAGCGUGACGAAAAGGACAUGCGGAAAAGAAAAGAAUACCUUAAGGGUAACUGACGCGUCGAAUA